GGUCGAGUGGUGUAGUGGUUAUCACUCCUGUCUUACAUAAGUGCGCACAGGUGGUCGUCGGUUCGAUCCCGGCCUCGAUCA